GCGGGGGUGCCCGAGCUAGGUCAAAGGGGUCGGGCUUAGGCCCCGAUGGCAUAGGCCUGCGUGGGUUCAAAUCCCACCCCCCGCACCA
rnacentral:tRNA from 1 species